AGGAGAUGCGGGACGUCUGGGCUGAGGGACCCCCAUCAUUGGAGGAGAAUACACGCCUGGACCUCAGCCUGGGUUUAGAUCUGAGAUGCCUCCUGAGCUGCUGAAAUGGAAGCUUGGCAAAAAGCAAAGGCACCCUGAAGGGACAGCUGCAAGGAGGAAGUCAGAGUGCUUUGAGGCAAGGAGUAUUCUGGUACCUGCAGAAGCCAUCCGGGAUGCUGCUCUUCCUCCCUGUGCUCUCACAAGCAAAGGCAAAUGAGGUAGGGACUGCUGGGACAGCCCUUAAGGUUGAACUCCCAUUUUCCUUCUUCCCUCUUAAAAUUAAUU
rnacentral:lncRNA from 1 species